rnacentral:rRNA from 1 species
GCGCGAAAACUUUACAAUACUGGCAACAGCGAUAAGGGAACCUCGAGUGCCAGGUUACAAAUCUGGCUGUCGAGAUGCCUAAAAAGCAUUUCAUAGCAAGGGCCGGGCAAGACCGGUGCCAGCCGCCGCGGUAACACCGGCGGCUCGAGUGGUAACCGUUAUUAUUGGGUCUAAAGGGUCUGUAGCCGGCCGGAUAAGUCUCUUGAGAAAUCUGGCAGCUUAACUGUCAGGCUUUCAGGAGAUACUGUCUGGCUCGAGGCCGGGAGAGGUGAGAGGUACUUCAGGGGUAGGGGCGAAAUCUUGUAAUCCUUGAAGGACCACCAGUGGCGAAGGCGUCUCACCAGAGCGGACCUGACGGCAAGGGACGAAAGCUAGGGGCACGAACC